rnacentral:rRNA from 1 species
CCCUUAGAUGUUCUGGGCCGCACGCGUGCUACACUGGUGAAUACAGCGAGUCUCCAUUCCCUUGACCGAAAGGUCUGGGUAAUCUUAUGAAAGUUCAUCGUGACAGGGAUUGAUCAUUGCAAUUAUUGAUCAUGAACGAGGAAUUCCUAGUAAGCGCGAGUCAUCAGCUCGCGCUGAUUACGUCCCUGCCCUUUGUACACACCGCCCGUCGCUACUACAGAGUGCCCGUGUCCAAGAAACGGUUGGACCUGUGCGGCCUCUCCGGGCGACCGGAGGGCCGUUACGGGAAAGACCCUUUAUUUGACGCGGGUCGAUGAAGUAAAAGUCGUAACA